UACGGAAGGCAGCAGUGGGGAAUAUUGCACAAUGGGCGCAAGCCUGAUGCAGCCAUGCCGCGUGUAUGAAAAAGGCCUUCGGGUUGUAAAGUACUUUUCAGUCGUGAGGAAGGUGUUAAGGUUAAUAACCUUAGCAAUUGAUGUUAGCGACAGAAGAAGCACCGGCUAACUCCGUGCCAGCAGCCGCGGUAAUACGGAGGGUGCGAGCGUUAAUCGGAAUUACUGGGCGUAAAGGGCACGCAGGCGGUUAAUUAAGUUGGAUGUGAAAUCCCCGGGCUUAACCUGGGAAUGGCAUUCAAGACUGGUUAGCUAGAGUCUUGUAGAGGGGUAGAAUUCCAUGUGUAGCGGUGAAAUGCGUAGAGAUGUGGAGGAUACCGGUGGCGAAGGCGGCCCCUGGACAAAGGCUGACGCUCAUGUGCGAAAGCGUGGGGAGCAAACGAGGAUUAGAUACC
rnacentral:rRNA from 1 species